rnacentral:rRNA from 1 species
UACGUAGGGGGCAAGCGUUGUCCGGAUUUAUUGGGCGUAAAGCGCGUGUAGGCGGCCAGGUAGGUCGGUUGUGAAAACUGGAGGCUUAACCUCCAGACGUCGACGGAAACCGCGUGGCUAGAGUCCGGAAGAGGAGAGUGGAAUUCCUGGUGUAGCGGUGAAAUGCGCAGAUAUCAGGAAGAACACCAAUGGCGAAGGCAGCUCUCUGGGACGGUACUGACGCUGAGACGCGAAAGCGUGGGGAGCGAACAGG